ACGCUCGACACCUACGGUAGGCAGCAGUGGGGAAUAUUGCACAAUGGGGGAAACCCUGAUGCAGCGACGCCGCGUGGAGGAAGAAGGUCUUCGGAUUGUAAACUCCUGUUGUUGGGGAAAAAGAGGAUGGUACCCAACAAGGAAGUGACGGCUAACUACGUGCCUGCAGCCGCGGUAAUCUGAGCGGGCUGGCAAGGC
rnacentral:rRNA from 1 species